AUCCAGCUCACUAAUCCCAAAUAGGACGAAACGCGCGUUCUGGAU
rfam:Schistosoma mattheei strain Denwood, Zambia genome assembly, scaffold: SMTD_scaffold0004895